rfam:Larimichthys crocea isolate SSNF unplaced genomic scaffold scaffold843, whole genome shotgun sequence.
UGUUUCCUCCUCUGUAAGUCCCUUUGGAUAAAAGCGUCUGCUAAAUGACUAAAU